CUACGGGCCGCACCAGUGGGGAAUAUUGCACAAUGGGCGCAAGCCUGAUGCAGCCAUGCCGCGUGUAUGAAGAAGGCCUUCGGGUUGUAAAGUACUUUCAGCGGGGAGGAAGGGAGUAAAGUUAAUACCUUUGCUCAUUGACGUUACCCGCAGAAGAAGCACCGGCUAACUCCGUGCCAGCAGCCGCGGUAAUACGGAGGGUGCAAGCGUUAAUCGGAAUUACUGGGCGUAAAGCGCACGCAGGCGGUUUGUUAAGUCAGAUGUGAAAUCCCCGGGCUCAACCUGGGAACUGCAUCUGAUACUGGCAAGCUUGAGUCUCGUAGAGGGGGGUAGAAUUCCAGGUGUAGCGGUGAAAUGCGUAGAGAUCUGGAGGAAUACCGGUGGCGAAGGCGGCCCCCUGGACGAAGACUGACGCUCACGUGCGAAAGCGUGGGGAGCAAACAGGAUUAGAUACCCGCGUAGUC
rnacentral:rRNA from 1 species